GCUGGAGGUCGGGCAGGGGCGGGAGGAGCCUGGCAACAGGACCCUGGCCUCUCGGAGCUGGGAGAGCCCGCCCUGCAGGUCUGCGGGGGAGGAGGGGCUGCGGCAACGGCCGCUUGCUCCCCCAUCCCCAGUGGAGAGAGCACACACGGGCAUUUUCGCCUGCGUUCAGGCUGCUCGGUGUUGGGUUGGUUUUAUCCGUGUUGUCAGAGGGACGGUGGGGAGGAGAGUGGACGGACUCGCUGGGGUCUGGGCUUUGCUGGCGUGUCCUGACGGCGGUGCCCGUUGGUCCCCGUCCCUCGUCUGCACCCUCUUGGCCUCCCCUGCUCGUCCUGUGGGGCCCAGCAGCCCAGCCCUGUGUAGCCGGCAGGGGUGGUUCGUGACUUAACAGCCUGUGGGCCUGGCACGGAGUAAGGGUGACUGAGUAUUAAAUGCUAACCCUUGUGAAGUAAGGCACUUCCAGCUAACUCUGAGAUUGUGGACAUUUGAACGUGUGCGCAAAGGAAGCUUCCCUGCCUGCAUUCAGACCAGACCACACGGCCAUCAUUUUCAACCCCCUGCCACUUAGGUAGUGGUGACCCUGGAAACGUUCCCUGGGGGCCUCAUAGUAUUUGUGAAGCUGCUGCUUGGCAAGUGACUUUCAGAGGAAGCAUUUUAAGAAGAUUAAGAGCCGCAGGCUUGCAGGGCAGCAGUGUGAUUCCUGCUAUUUUCAGGGCACCGACAGUGUUCCCCUCACACCCGGGUCGGCAGUAGCGCCGAGACACAGCCCGGACACUCGACACGGAUGUGACGCCCAGAAGUGCGGACGGUGGUCUGUCUGGGUCCUCUGUUGAGCUUGCUCAUCUUGGGGAUUUCACUGGCAGUGAGGGAAGCCACAUUCCUGAACCAGUGCCCGAGAGGCUCUUUAUUGUGCUGCCUUCAAGAAGUACCUUCCAGCCUGGGAUUCUCUGUCAGCUGGUUUGCAGUUUUUGGAGUUUGCUGAAGGGUCUCUCCUGGGGCUUCACCCUUGAAUCCUGGAGUCCGUUGAAUUAGUUGGUGACCAAAUUCUUCCCACUGGAAAGAAAGGAAGGUCUUGAGCGCAAAAUCCAUAACAGACCCUUAGAUAAAGAGGGAUUGGAAGAGAGUGGAUUCGGGUCCAGAUGUCAUGGUUGAUGAGAUUUUACAUACAGAUUUUCCUGUACAGUUUUAGACAAACAACAUUUUACUCACCAUUUUAGGAAAACACAUUUAUCCAAAAGAGGAGGUGAUUUUUGGUUUGGAAAGAGGAGUGUUUUUCCAUCAGUUAUUUUGAGGGGAGGGGUUUGGGGAUGAACUUGGGAUGUGGACGCUGGGGGGA
ensembl:lncRNA